GACGAACGCUGGCGGCGUGCUUAACACAUGCAAGUCGAACGGAAAGGCCCUGCUUUUGUGGGGUGCUCGAGUGGCGAACGGGUGAGUAACACGUGAGUAACCUGCCCUUUACUUUGGGAUAACUUCAGGAAACUGGGGCUAAUACCGGAUAGGAGCUCCUGCUGCAUGGUGGGUGUUGGAAAGUUUCGGCGGUUGGGGAUGGACUCGCGGCUUAUCAGCUUGUUGGUGGGGUAGUGGCUUACCAAGGCUUUGACGGGUAGCCGGCCUGAGAGGGUGACCGGCCACAUUGGGACUGAGAUACGGCCCAGACUCCUACGGGAGGCAGCAGUGGGGAAUAUUGCACAAUGGGCGGAAGCCUGAUGCAGCAACGCCGCGUGCGGGAUGACGGCCUUCGGGUUGUAAACCGCUUUCGCCUGUGACGAAGCGUGAGUGACGGUAAUGGGUAAAGAAGCACCGGCUAACUACGUG
rnacentral:rRNA from 1 species